CACCAAAUAUGACUACCCAAAGAGAACUCCAGACCCAGCCAAGUGCCAUUAUUGAUCGACGGAUCGUGACUCGACGACGACGACCCACUAAUGAAGUGCUAAUACAGUGGGCGAACCUACCAAUAGAAGAUGUCACUUGGGAGAACUAUGAUGACUUGAAGAUCAAAUUCCCAGAAUUCAUGAAUCAUCAGCCUCGAGGACAAGGCUGAUUUGAAGAGGGCAGGUCUGUUAGGACUCUAGCUUGGAGAGUCCUAAUUGAGAGGGA
rnacentral:lncRNA from 1 species